AUGUCUAUUCUCAAGAUCCAUGCCAGAGAGAUCUUUGACUCCUGUGGGAACCCCACUGUUGAGGUAGAUCUGUACACUGCAAGAGAUCUCUUGCAAGCUGUGGUGCCCAGCGGUGUAUCUACUGGCACCUACGAGGCCCCAGAACUCUGAGACAAUAAGAUUUGCUUCAUGGGGAAGGGUGUCUCACAGGCUUUUGAGCACAUCAAUAACAGUAAUGUGCCUGCUCUGGUUAGCAAGAAAGUGAAUGUUGUGGAGCAAAAGAAGAUUGACCAGCUGAUGAUCGAGAUGGACAGCAUCGAGAAUAAAUCUAAAUUUGGUGCAAAUGCCAUCCUGGGAGUGUCCCUGACUGUCUGCAAAGCUGGUGCCGUGGAAAAGGGGGUGCCCUUUUACCGUCACAUUGCUGACUUGGCCGACAACCCUGAAGCCAUCCUUCUGGUCUCAGCUUUCAAUGUGAUCAUCGGAGGUUCAUCAAAGAGAAGUAAGGGAACAAUGCCACCAAUGUAGGUGAUAAGGACUGAUUGGCACCUAACAUCCUGGAGAAGAAAGAGGCACUGGAACUGCUCAAGGCUGCAAUUGCAAAGGCCGGAUACACUGACCAGGUUGUCAUUGGCAUGGAUGUCGGCUGCCUUCGAAUUCUACAGGUCUGGCAAGUAUGACCUGGACUUCCAGUCUCCAGAUGACCCCAGAUGGUUCAUCACACCGGACCAGCUGGCUGACCUGUACACGUCCUUCAUGCAGGACUACCCAGUGGUGUCCAUUGAAGACCCCUUUGACCAGAACGACUGGAUGCUUGGCAGAAGUUCACAGCUAGUACAGGUAUCCAGGUGGGGGAUGACCUCACAGUGACCAAUCCUAAGCUGAUUUGGCAAGGUUGCAGGCUAGAAGUCUUGCAACUGCCUCCUGCUCAAAGUGAACCAGAUUGGCUCUGUGACAGUCUCUCUGCAGGAGUGUAGGCUGGCCUAGUCCAAUUGCUGGGGCAUCAUGAUGUCCCAUCGAUUUGGGGAGACUGAGGAUCUGCAAUGGGGCAGAUCAAGACUGUUGUCCCUUGCUGAUCUGAGUGCCUUAGCCAAGUACAAUCAGAUCUUUAGAAUCAAGGAAGAGCUGGGCAGCAAAACCAAGUUUACUGGAAGGUCAUUCAGGAACCUCCUGGCCAAGUAA